ensembl:ncRNA F44E7.14 ncRNA
AAGAGAGACAGAGUGUUAGGCACGGCUGCUAGGUCGUCGCGAGAGGGCCUAUGCCGAUUUCGUCAUUUCGUGAAAUGUCUUUCUCGAACAAAGAGAUAGAA